UACGUAGGGUGCGAGCGUUGUCCGGAAUUAUUGGGCGUAAAGAGCUUGUAGGCGGUUUGUCGCGUCUGCCGUGAAAGCCCCCGGCUCAACUGGGGAGGGUCAUCGGUAACGGUCGUGCUAUGAGUGCAGGAGAGGGAAGUGGAACUCCGGGAGUAGCGGUGAAAUGCGUAGAGACCCGGAGGAACACCAGUGGCGAAGGCGGCUUCCUGGUCUGCGACUGACGCUGUGGCGCGAAAGCUAGGGGAGCAAACGGG
rnacentral:rRNA from 1 species